rnacentral:rRNA from 1 species
UACGAAGGGGGCUAGCGUUGUUCGGAAUUACUGGGCGUAAAGCGCACGUAGGCGGAUCGAUCAGUCAGGGGUGAAAUCCCAGGGCUCAACUCCAGAACUGCCUUCGAUACUGGGAGUCUCGAGUCCGGGAGAGGUGAGUGGAACUGCGAGUGUAGAGGUGAAAUUCGUAGAUAUGGGGAGGAACACCGGUGGCGAAGGCGGCCACCUGGACGGUAACUGACGCUGAGACGCGAAAGCGUGGGGAGCAAACAGG